ACGUCCGUCGUGAAGAGGGAAACAACCCAGACCGCCAGCUAAGGUCCCAAAGUCAUGGUUAAGUGGGAAACGAUGUGGGAAGGCCCAGACAGCCAGGAUGUUGGCUUAGAAGCAGCCAUCAUUUAAAGAAAGCGUAAUAGCUCACUGGUCGAGUCGGCCUGCGCGGAAGAUGUAACGGGGCUAAACCAUGCACCGAAGCUGCGGCAGCGACGCUUAUGCGUUGUUGGGUAGGGGAGCGUUCUGUAAGCCUGUGAAGGUGUGCUGUGAGGCAUGCUGGAGGUAUCAGAAGUGCGAAUGCUGACAUAAGUAACGAUAAAGCGGGUGAAAAGCCCGCUCGCCGGAAGACCAAGGGUUCCUGUCCAACGUUAAUCGGGGCAGGGUGAGUCGACCCCUAAGGCGAGGCCGAAAGGCGUAGUCGAUGGGAAACAGGUUAAUAUUCCUGUACUUGGUGUUACUGCGAAGGGGGGACGGAGAAGGCUAUGUUGGCCGGGCGACGGUUGUCCCGGUUUAAGCGUGUAGGCUGAUUUUCCAGGCAAAUCCGGAAAAUCAAGGCUGAGGCGUGAUGACGAGGCACUACGGUGCUGAAGCAACAAAUGCCCUGCUUCCAGGAAAAGCCUCUAAGCAUCAGGUAACAUCAAAUCGUACCCCAAACCGACACAGGUGGUCAGGUAGAGAAUACCAAGGCGCUUGAGAGAACUCGGGUGAAGGAACUAGGCAAAAUGGUGCCGUAACUUCGGGAGAAGGCACGCUGAUAUGUAGGUGAAGUCCCUCGCGGAUGGAGCUGAAAUCAGUCGAAGAUACCAGCUGGCUGCAACUGUUUAUUAAAAACACAGCACUGUGCAAACACGAAAGUGGACGUAUACGGUGUGACGCCUGCCCGGUGCCGGAAGGUUAAUUGAUGGGGUCAGCGCAAGCGAAGCUCUUGAUCGAAGCCCCGGUAAACGGCGGCCGUAACUAUAACGGUCCUAAGGUAGCGAAAUUCCUUGUCGGGUAAGUUCCGACCUGCACGAAUGGCGUAAUGAUGGCCAGGCUGUCUCCACCCGAGACUCAGUGAAAUUGAACUCGCUGUGAAGAUGCAGUGUACCCGCGGCAAGACGGAAAGACCCCGUGAACCUUUACUAUAGCUUGACACUGAACAUUGAGCCUUGAUGUGUAGGAUAGGUGGGAGGCUUUGAAGUGUGGACGCCAGUCUGCAUGGAGCCGGCCUUGAAAUACCACCCUUUAAUGUUUGAUGUUCUAACGUGGACCCGUAAUCCGGGUUGCGGACAGUGUCUGGUGGGUAGUUUGACUGGGGCGGUCUCCUCCUAAAGAGUAACGGAGGAGCACGAAGGUUGGCUAAUCCUGGUCGGACAUCAGGAGGUUAGUGCAAUGGCAUAAGCCAGCUUGACUGCGAGCGUGACGGCGCGAGCAGGUGCGAAAGCAGGUCAUAGUGAUCCGGUGGUUCUGAAUGGAAGGGCCAUCGCUCAACGGAUAAAAGGUACUCCGGGGAUAACAGGCUGAUACCGCCCAAGAGUUCAUAUCGACGGCGGUGUUUGGCACCUCGAUGUCGGCUCAUCACAUCCUGGGGCUGAAGUAGGUCCCAAGGGUAUGGCUGUUCGCCAUUUAAAGUGGUACGCGAGCUGGGUUUAGAACGUCGUGAGACAGUUCGGUCCCUAUCUGCCGUGGGCGCUGGAGAACUGAGGGGGGCUGCUCCUAGUACGAGAGGACCGGAGUGGACGCAUCACUGGUGUUCGGGUUGUCAUGCCAAUGGCACUGCCCGGUAGCUAAAUGCGGAAGAGAUAAGUGCUGAAAGCAUCUAAGCACGAAACUUGCCCCGAGAUGAGUUCUCCCUGACCCUUUAAGGGUCCUGAAGGAACGUUGAAGACGACGACGUUGAUAGGCCGGGUGUGUAAGCGCAGCGAUGCGUUGAGCUAACCGGUACUAAUGAACCGUGAGGCUUAACCUUACAACGCCGAAG
rnacentral:rRNA from 1 species